rnacentral:rRNA from 1 species
UACGUAGGGGGCAAGCGUUGUCCGGAAUCAUUGGGCGUAAAGAGCGUGUAGGCGGCCCGGUAAGUCCGCUGUGAAAGUCCAGGGCUCAACCCUGGGAUGCCGGUGGAUACUGUCGGGCUCGAGUCCGGAAGAGGAGUGUGGAAUUCCUGGUGUAGCGGUGAAAUGCGUAGAUAUUGGGAGGAACGCCAGUGGCGAAGGCGGCUCACUGGACCGGUUCUGACGCUGAGGCUCGAAAGCGUGGGUAGCAAACAGG